GGAUUAGAUACCCUGGUAGUCCUGGCCAUAAACGGUGUACACUUGAUGUGGGCGGUUUUAACCCCGUCCGUGUCGGAGCAAACGUGUUAAGUGUACCGCCUGGGGAGUACGGUCGCAAGACUAAAACUCAAAGGAAUUGACGGGGGCCCGCACAAGCGGUGGAGCAUGUGGCUUAAUUCGAUGCAACGCGAAGAACCUUACCUGGACUUGACAUGCCCGUCAUACCUGAGUGAAAGCUCGGGGUCAUUUAGUUGGACGGUGCACAGGUGCUGCAUGGCUGUCGUCAGCUCGUGUUG
rnacentral:rRNA from 1 species